rnacentral:lncRNA from 1 species
AAUGUAUACAAAAGGAAAUAAUAAAAUAAUAGUGGCAUAGACCUUAAUGAUAAAAUAUAAAUAGGAACGUCAUAUUAUAGAAAAAAUCUAAAUCUAAAUCUUUUCACCUUUUUUCAUUUUUUUUAUAAUUAUUUGUGUUUCAAAGACUGAAAACAAUCGAAUUCUACUAGGUAAUAAGUAAACAAAUCAACACGUGGUGUCCUGUUCUGUAGGCAUUCUUCGAGGGUAUAAGAGUGAUCCUUUCGUUAUUUUCCUUGACGUAACUACUAAAUUCAAAAGGGCUGAAGGAAAAAACGGCUACAAAUAGGAUAAAAUUCGUUCUGAUAAGGUCAUCAAAAUUGUAAAAUAAUCAGACCUAAGAGCAACGUAUCUGCAUCUAAAAAGAUGGAUAGUUUUAAAUGAAAGGCUAUGCAAGAAACUUAACUUAUGUUACAUGUGUUAGUCUAAUUAAAAUGCAUGACCUUUUACGCAAUCAAAUAUCACGUAUCAGGUAUAUAGACACAUAUCGUUAAAAUAUGUAAAUGACAUCUGUCAAUAAGUUUUAAAAAAGAUCAUGUUAUUGUAUAUUCUACACGGAUUAUACAGACUAAAAGAAUUAUUAAUCAGCAAUAUUCCUGACAGCUUCGAAUCCAAUCUAAAUUAGGUUUUCUUCUUUGAAUGUUACAUGUACGUAUCCGUUUUGACAAGCAAAUGUAAUUUCAACCGUUUGAAGGUACUGAAUUAGAAUGAAAUUAAUUUCUCCUAGUUGUCUGCCCAUAUACCGUUAUUUGUAUUCCCGCGCUUAAUGGGAUAUAACAAUUCAGAACGACAUGGCCGGCUCCAUUAGACUUGUUUCAAAGUUAAAGAAA